UUGCAGAUAGCCUAUAAACAAACAUGUAAUGGAGAGGCUUAUUACCCAGAUUCCUUUCCCAGGAAAGGCAUGUUAAUUAUAGCCCUGGAAAGGGAAUGCAACCCUUAUUGAGAGCAUAUAAACGGAUGCAAGAGGGGCGUCUGUCCUGAGGAAAAACCUCUGUGGUGGAGAUAAGGAUGACUAAAUAGAAAAGAGGCCAUGCUGUUGGUUUCACAGCAGUCACCACGAAGAACAGCUGUUCCUAGCAGAGAUGAUUGCCCAGGGUUUAGCACCACCAGAAGCAGGAACAUGCUACCAUCGCAAAACUGGAGCAGAAGACCCUGAGAGGCUUGCUCAUCAGCAGAUGAAAUAAUGGGUCCAAAAAGAAGAGAAGUUGACUGAUUUCCUCAUGUCUCACUGGCAAUAGAUGGUAGAAGCGGAGCAAGAAGGUUCUCCAGUAUCUGCUGCUUCCCCCUGAAUUUGUUCACAAUGUACAGCUCAGUGACGCCUGAGAAAACAUCUUUGUUGUCCUGAGCCUGGCCAGACAUAGACAUUUGACUCCAUGGUUACUUGGAGAGGUAGUACAUCCUCUUAGGGUAAAUGGGCUCACCCUGGAAAGCACCACGGACCACCCACGAUCAUGACAGCAUUCCCAGGGUCAGAAGCAACAUAUGGAGAAACCCCUUAUCCUGAAUGCAUCUAAGUCCUGCCCAGAUUUAGGGGAGCUGGAGCAGGAAGUUUAGGGUCUGGUAUUGGGAUCCCAAGGUUGGAGUUCUAGCCCCUCUGCUGAUUGGCUGUAGGACCUGGGAGACCUGCCACUUCCCUUCUCAGUUUCUUUUUGUGAGACAGGGGAGGCAAACAUCUGACCUCACAGAAGCACUGAAAGUUAUCAUCUGAAAUAAUGGCCAUAAGAUUGUUACUGCCACCUCAGUUCUCUUCUUCUCCAUUGCUUCUGUGGACUCUCGUAGCAAAUCCCUUCUAUUUGUCUUGAGAAUAAAAUACCCAGGGCCAGUAUUGCUUCUCUUAGCCAGCCAAUUAGUCAAAAAAAUACUUUCUGAUGUCCCAGAAAGAACCUUAUCUGUGCUGGGCAAUGUCUAGGAUAUGGAGAGGAAUUCAACCACACAGCUGUUGCCUUUAAAGAGAUCACAGAGAAGCUGUCAUUCUGGGGAACAGGAGGUAGCAGUAAAUACUGUAACAAAGGGAUAAAGGAUAUAGGAGUACAAAGGAGUGAUCAACUGACCAAGCUGUGGCAUUAAUUAAAGACUUCAGAUAUGAAACGUUUAAGUGAGUCCUAAAAAAUUGAGCAUGUUUUCACCCAGGUAAUGCAGUGAGAGGAAGCGCCUUCCAGGCAGGAGAAACAAGUAUAAAAA